rnacentral:lncRNA from 1 species
GUGUGGUUCCAGUAACCCGACCGACCCUAGUUAAAACCCCCCGACCCUAGAACUUUUUUUUUCAUUUCUGAAAAAUAAAUUUUCAAACGAUCAAAUUUGAGGAUUGUGAAUUAAAAUAAUUAAAUUCAUAGAUUUCUGUCAUCUGAAUUUCCAUCACAAGUAUCUGUUAUGGCUAAAAUGCAACAAUUCAUAACAGAAUGCAACAAAAUUAACUAAAAACGUAUCAUGACUGUUUAUUUUACAACCAAACACAUGUAAAAAUGGUGGACUUCUGGUUGGGGCAUGUAUAAUACCGGAAACAAUUUUGAUAAACACAGGAUUUUUUUCCGGAUUUUGACAUUCAAAAAUAAAAAUUAAAAAAAUUUGCCGACCUACCGACCCUAUUUUUUUUAAA